GAUCCUGGCUUAGGACAAACGCUGGCGGCGUGCAUAACACAUGCAAGUCGAACGAGAUUGUAGGAAAUGGAGUCUCGGACAAAGCUUUUACAUGAAAGUGGCGAACGGGUGAGUAACACGUGAGAAACCUGCCCUUCACAGUGGGAUAGCCGUUGGAAACGACGAUUAAUACCGCAUGAGAUUGUAGUAUCGCAUGAUAUAGCAAUUAAAGAUUUUAUCGGUGAAGGAUGGUCUCGCGUCUGAUUAGCUAGUUGGUGGGGUAAAGGCCUACCAAGGCGACGAUCAGUAGCCGAUCUGAGAGGGUGUACGGCCACAUUGGGACUGAGACACGGCCCAAACUCCUACGGGAGGCAGCAGUGGGGAAUUUUGCACAAUGGGGGAAACCCUGAAUGCAGCGACGCCGCGUGAAUGAAGAAGGCCUUCGGGUUGUAAAGUUCUGUCCUUGGUGAAGAUAAUGACAGUAACCAAGAAGAAAGCCCCGGCUAAAUACGUGCCAGCAGCCGC
rnacentral:rRNA from 1 species